UCCGAGUUGUCCCCGGCAGUCCUCUUAGAGUCCCCGGCAUUACCCGCUGGCAACUAAGAGCAGGGGUUGCGCUCGUUGCGGCACUUAAGCCAACACCUCACGGCACGAGCUGACGACAGCCAUGCAGCAUCUGUGUAUCCGUCCCGAAGGAGGCACCCCUUUCAGGGUGUUGCGAAUACAUGUCAAGCCCAGGUAAGGUUCUUCGCGUUACAUCGAAUUAAACCACACGCUCCGCUGCUUGUGCGGGUCCCCGUCAAUUCCUUUGAGUUUUAGUCUUGCGACCGUACUCCCCAGGCGGGCCACUUAAUGCGUUAGCUUCGGCACGGAAGGGGUCAACACCCCCCACACCUAGUGGCCAUCGUUUACUGCUAGGACUAC
rnacentral:misc_RNA from 1 species